UGUUACACUCGUUUUUGUUUACCAGAUAGCUUUGAAAGUGCUUUUUUAAAUUGGCGUCGCGCACUUAUUGCUACUUUUGUGUCAAUGUUAAGUGCGGUGUUAGCUAGCCACAACGAAAAGCUAGCCAACUAACUAUCUCUUUUUAUCCGCCAGAAGUUUGGUGAGCAAGCUCCACCGCAGCGCCUGACGAGAGAGGCCAUGAGAAACUACCUGAAGGAGAGGGGAGACCAGACCUUACUCAUACUACACGCUAAAGUGGCACAGAAGUCUUAUGGCAACGAGAAGAGGUCUGUAUGAGAGAGAGAACGAUAUUCAUGGUGUCUCUGUAUGAGAGAGAGAACGAUAUUCA